UAGUGGUUAGCCAAAUGGUAAGGCAUUAGGUUUUGAUCUUAAUUAUUGUGGGUUCGAUUCUCACACCUCUAG
rnacentral:tRNA from 1 species